rnacentral:lncRNA from 1 species
CUCCAGCUCUUCAAGCAAUUCCCUUCCCGGAUCUUCAAACUGACGAUCUUCUGGAAGUUGAUAUGGAGAUAUGAAAGGGUGUUUUGGUUUUGAGAGGGUUGAUGUUUUUAUUCAAAGAACCAUGAGAAUUAAAAGAUGAAAAGAAUGAAUAUUAGGUUCUUAAUCCUUUGGAAGUUGAGAGGAAUUCCUGUUUGAAUGUUUGCCAAAGGUCUUUAACGAAAAUCGGACGUUUUGUUUAUAUAGUAGGUUGAAUUUGGUAAUAUGGAGCGUUAAAAAUUUACGAGGCAUUAAAAUUACCAAAGGCCAGAUAACACCGUCGCUAGAGCGAGGUG